rnacentral:rRNA from 1 species
UACGGAGGGAGCUAGCGUUGUUCGGAAUUACUGGGCGUAAAGCGCACGUAGGCGGCUUUUUAAGUCAGAGGUGAAAUCCCGGGGCUCAACCCCGGAACUGCCUUUGAAACUGGAGAGCUAGAAUCUUGGAGAGGCGAGUGGAAUUCCGAGUGUAGAGGUGAAAUUCGUAGAUAUUCGGAAGAACACCAGUGGCGAAGGCGACUCGCUGGACAAGUAUUGACGCUGAGGUGCGAAAGCGUGGGGAGCAAACAGGG